rnacentral:lncRNA from 1 species
UUAAUUAAACUUCGAGCACAGUCUUUUAAUCAUAUCAAUUCACCUAAUGAUCUAUCAUCAAGCCUACAUUGUCUUAUCUAUUCCAAAAAAUACAGUGAGUUGCUUUGUCUUGCCUAAAUUCUGAUGCAUAGGGCCCUGCCUGUAGGAUUUUACUGAGAUCACCAGAGCAACAGAACAGGGUACUUAGCCUACUUCAGCUCACUACUUUCAUUGUUAAUUACACAAAAGUCCUUUGUUACAAUCUGUUAUAGAAUUUUGUCUGGCAUCAACCCUGAUCCCCAUUUUAGCAACUAUCUUCCUUAUAAUUAAAACAACGACAACAACAAAAAUGAGGCUACUAUGUUCUGAAAUUUAUUUAAUUCCAGUGGAACUUCAGAUUUAUGCAUUUAUUUACUUGUUUGCUUGUUUGUUUAGUUGACAAUGUUUUUACCUGCAAACUUACCUUUUUUUAUUUUUUAUUUUUUAUUUUUUUGAGACAGAGUCUUGCUCUGUCACCCAGGCUGGAGUGCAGUGGUGCAAUCUCGGCUCACUGCAAGAUCCGACUCCCAGGUUCACACCAUUCUCCUGCCUCAGCCUCCCAAGUAGCUGCGACUACAGGCGCCCACCACCACGCCCAGCUAAUUUUUUUGUAUUUUUAGUAGAGACGGGGUUUCACUGUGUUAGCCAGGAUGGUCUCGAUCUCCUGACCUCAUGAUCUGCCCGCCUCAGCCUCCCAAAGUGCUGGGAUUACAGGAGUGAGCCACCAUGCCCGGCCUGAAACUUAUCUUCUUUUAAAUGACUUGACUGACUUUGCAAUUUCCUUAUCCAUUUCGAAUUUUGUAAAAUUAUUUUUUAUUAUUGACUGGCUAUCUUCUGAAGUCUGGAGAUUGUUCUUCUAGACCAAACUAGAAAAGGUAAAAAAGUAAGAGUUAACUUUGGGGCUGAGAUUGAAAUAUGCUUCUAACACUUACAGGCAGCAAGACAUUUGCAAGUUAAACAAGAUCUAAGUGCUUCUGUUCUGUUCCCUUGUUGUAAAACGGGGAAAAUAAUAGCACUUUACCCACAGAACUGUGGUAAAAUUUAAAUUUGAUUCUUGUAAAGCACUCAAAAUAAUGCCUCGAAUAUAGUAAACAUUCAAAACUAUUAGAUAAUUUUUUUAGUAACAACAUUAGAUACUAAACUCAUGUUGUUUCUCUAAACAACUUAAAAUCAAUUUUAUUGGUAUUAUCAUUUUUAUACAAGUUAGCUCAUUUGAAAUUAUAAAUCAGUCAGUAAGAUCAUAUACAUCUGGGCCACUGGUAUAUAUUUAAGUUUUAUCAUGCAUAAAAUUCUCAACUUCUUCUACAGUUUCUGGUGCAAUAAGGCAUUUUAGGUCUCUGGUUGCAAGACAGACACUGACCUUUGUGGUGAAGAACCUAGGUUCCAUGUGAGACUGAUGGGCUCUACCACCUGCUAGAGGCUUGCUCUUAGACAAGUGCAUUACUAUUCAGAUGGAAUUAUGGGCAGUUCCCUCUUUGGGUUGUGGCACUUGAAGCCUUUUUAAUCCCAAAUGUUUUAUUACAUUUACAGACUCAGGGGCAAAAGGUAAGAAUUCCAUUUAUUCUCCUUUAGAUCUUUCAUUGUUUUUUUGAGGACAAGGAAGAAAAUCUUCACAUCCCUGAGCUCUAGAUAUUGAUGUGGUUUAUGUGUCUGUGUAGUCUAAUGCUUGCUGGUCUAUUUGGAGGCUGCUCUCCACGUUCUCACUUUUCCCUGCAGGAAAGUGUUAGAUCAGUUAUCUCCACUAGGACUCCAACAGGGUUCAAGGUCUGGUUGCAAACAUCUUCUCUCUAGCCCAGGCUAUAGCUAAGACUUAAGGGCAAGGUGGCCAUAUUCUAGUUGCUACAAUGCAAGAGAAUCUAUUUGUGCAGAACAGAACAUACUCAUAAGGCACAAAGAAACCUAUUACAUUAUAGUCAUCAGAUAUAGUAGAAUGAGACUUUUAUAAAUAUUUAUUUCUGCAAAUCCUACAGAAGUAAGUUUUUAAAAGC